GGUGCCACUCCAAGCUUGUCAGUGAACCUAUACAAUCACAUAGCUUCUUUACAAGCAUCGAAUGCUGUAAUGUAUUCUGUCUCACAAAUUAAAUUGGCUAUAUUGCUCUGCUUGGAACCUUUCCAUCAGAUUGCUCUAUUAUUUAGGAUAAGAAUUUAUUUUGAUAUAUUCUUGCUAUUAUUAUAUUCAACUAAAAACUAAAGUCAUACUCUACAAAUUUUAAGUCAGAUUCUCCAUAACCGAACC
rnacentral:lncRNA from 1 species